rnacentral:tRNA from 1 species
GGGGGUUUAGCUCAGCUGGUAGAGCGCCUGCUUUGCAAGCAGGGUGUCAGCGGUUCGAGUCCGCUAACCUCC